UACCUUGAUGGCGACCGGCGCACGGGUGAGUAACGCGUAUGCAACCUGCCCGAUACCGGGGUAUAGCCCAUGGAAACGUGGAUUAACACCCCAUAGUACUUUUAUCCUGCCUGGGAUGGGAGUUAAAUGUUCAAGGUAUCGGAUGGGCAUGCGUCCUAUUAGUUAGUUGGCGGGGUAACGGCCCACCAAGACGAUGAUAGGUAGGGGUUCUGAGAGGAAGGUCCCCCACAUUGGAACUGAGACACGGUCCAA
rnacentral:rRNA from 1 species